rnacentral:tRNA from 1 species
CUUAAUGAGACAGAGUAAUGUGCUAGACUUAAACCCUAGUUAUGAGAUUUCUCCAUUAAGG